rnacentral:rRNA from 1 species
UACAGAGGUCUCAAGCGUUGUUCGGAUUCAUUGGGCGUAAAGCGCACGUAGGCGGAUUGUUAAGUCAGGGGUGAAAUCCUGGAGCUCAACUCCAGAACUGCCUUUGAUACUGGCGAUCUUGAGUCCGGGAGAGGUGAGUGGAACUGCGAGUGUAGAGGUGAAAUUCGUAGAUAUUCGCAAGAACACCAGUGGCGAAGGCGGACUCACUGGCCCGGUACUGACGCUGAGGUGCGAAAGCGUGGGGAGCAAACAGG